GUCAGGGUCCUGCCUACAACCCAGACGGCCAGCCAUUGGGGGGCUUCGUCAUGGACGGCCAGCAGCACAUGGGAAUCAGACCACCGGGAGCGAUGGGUGGAAUGGGCAUGAACAUGGGGAUGGAAGGUCAGUGGCACUACAUGUAGCCCCGCCCCCUCGCCCACCAAUCGCAACACAACGGGGAUAGCUGCAGGCCGCCCGUCUCCCGGAGGCCCCCCUGGCUCUGGACCGGGACCCCUCGACCUCCUGAUGUCGCCCCCGCCGCCGCCGACCCACAGCGACCCCCCAGACCACCUCCCGAGACCCCCCCACCUUCUAUUCGGCUGACACGUGCAACGCGGAUCCUCGCCCGUCCUCCACCAGACGCCCGACGCACGGAAGAUGAAACUAAGCCCCGCCCCCUUCCUCCAUCGUCCUCGCCGGACUUCCUGCUUCUUCUUCUUCUCUGGUGGGCUCCAGACCUUAACCCCGUACCCCCCCCCCCCCCUUCUUCUAUUUUGCUCACAUGGAUUCCUCCGUGAACAAUGCGCCCGUGGUUGCGAUCGUGAGACAUUGACAACGCCCACCGCCGCCGACUUUCUACCCUCCGCGGCGUCUUGCAGGCGCUCCCCGGUGGAAAAAAACGGGAAAAGAGAGAGACUUCCCGCGAAGGAGAGCGCGCCGCUCUCCAGGGACGACGGGGGGGAGACGGCCCCCGAGGAAGAAGAAGCCAAUGUCUGUAUCCGACUGGGAAGCGACAAAAAAAAAAAGAAAAGAAGAAGAGGCGGUGCCCUUUAAAACAAAUUUCAAAAUAAAAUAGUGGGAGCGAAAACACGGAAGGAGGGAAAGCGAGAGAAAAGAAAUAAAAAAGUAUAACUAUAUCAAACCCUUUGGGAAGUGAGCGGAGAAAGAAAAUAUACUGUAUACUGUUGUAAAGUUACGCUGGACUCUCACAAGAACUGGGAACGUACGUCUUGUAAAUGCUAUCGUCUUGUUCCGCUUACGUUGUUUUAAUAGACUCUCUUUUUUCUUCUUUUUUUAAAGAAUGUGAACUUUUUUCCUCUUUCUUUACGAUUUCUUUCCACACUAUGUGUGUGCCGUCGCCCCUCCAUCCAGAUUUGACCUCCUGACCCCAAACCAUUACAAUCACAAGGCUUUUUUUUUUAAAGAACGGAUGAAAAAAAAAAAGGAUUAAAAAAAGAAGAAGAAGAAGCGAAUAAAUGGACAUUUCCUCGCCGGCCUUGUGAGUGAUUCACGUGUACACACACACACACACACACACACGCUCAGUGUCAACGCCGUGGAACUCCACGUUUUGGUGAUUUUCGCCCCUAUAUUUUCAUAUCAGUUGAUUUUAAGUUUUUAUUGGCAUUUAAAAAGUCUCCAAACAAACUUUUACCCACAGAAAUCAACAUGUUGGUCUUUUUUUAAAUCGUUUCUUCUUUUAAAUCCAAUUUGCCAUCGUCCAAUUUGUACGAGUUUUUACUCUGGCUCACGCACCAUGACGUCUCUACGUGAUGACGUCACGUGACGCGGCGCCUCAAGGUCGCUGCGGACCGGAAGCGGCCCGCAGACGAGUUGUUUCCCGGUCGCUCUUUCCGCGCGCCGUCUCUCCCCCGGUGUCCUAUUGACGCGUCCCCGGGGUCACGAGGAGGCCGCGCACGCGCACGCCGAUCGGGUUCUCUUCCCCCUCCGUGUUUGACGAGGAGGGGGGGGGGGGCUGUGUGAAAACACCAUUUAUACAACAGUCCAUUCAUGUUGAUUCAACCGGAUGACGUAACGCCGAUCAACAGACAGGAGAGAAUGUAAAAGUCACUGUGUGUGUGUGUGUGUGUGUGAGUGAGUGAGAGAGAGAGAGAGAGAGGGGGAACGUACGUGCGUGUGUGUGUGCGUGUGUGUGUGUGUGUGUGUGUGUGUGUGUGUGUGUGUGUGUGUGUGUGUGUGUGUGUGUGUGUGUGUGGGUUAUACAUGCAUCCAUUAAUCCGUCGCUUCAAACUUGUAUUACGCACAUCUUUAAGAUUCCUUUGAAGACGAGUCGUGUUUCUUAUGCUUUGAAGGGUAUAUAUGUACAUCUGUGUUGUAAAUAAAUGAUUUUUUGUUCAAAUAACAGACCUCAUAA